GGAGUUAGCCGGUGCUUCUUCUGUGAGUGAUGUCCUUCCUGCCGGCUAUUAACCCGCAGGCCUUCUUCCUCACUGAAAGUGCUUUACAACCCGAAGGCCUUCUUCACACACGCGGCAUGGCUGGAUCAGGGUUGCCCCCAUUGUCCAAUAUUCCCCACUGCUGCCUCCCGUAGGAGUCUGGGCCGUGUCUCAGUUCCAAUGUGGCUGAUCAUCCUCUCAGACCAGCUACCCGUCUUCGCCUUGGUGAGCUAUUACCUCGCCAACAAGCUGAUAGGCCGCGAGACCCUCUUAAAGCGUCAUUACAAACUUUAGUAGAUGGACGAUGCCGUCCACCACCACAUCCGGUAUUAAUCCACGUUUCCAUGGGCUAUCCCAAACUUUAAGGCAGGUUUCUCACGUGUUACGCACCCGUUCGCCGCUCUCACCUCAUCGUAUUGCUACGACUCGGAUCCCGCUCGACUUGCAUGUCUUAACCACGUCGCCAGCGUCACUCUGAGCACGGAGUACAAACUACUACGA
rnacentral:rRNA from 1 species